CGGCGUCUCGUCUAGUGCCUACGGCGACGGUCGAGCUGCCCGGGGUGAGGCGGCUGAAGGCCUGGCGGGUGCAUCCCGCCGACCCGCUCCGCCUACCAGCCGCUCGGCGUCGGGCCUCGCGGUUGUUUGGCGCGGAGAAGCUGUAGAUGAGCACGAGCCCAGCUCGCGCGCUGAGAGGAAUCUGGAGGCCUGCUGCCCGCUUCCGGACUGCAUUUUCCAGGGGACUCGCGGGCGGACGCUACAUUCCUCAGGAUUUCGGCCGCUUUGCGGGAUGGCGGGACCGUUGGCUUCCCCGAGUCAGCCGCUGCGGGGCCUUUGGAGUCCGGUGCAACUUGGCCAGUUUGGGCCAGACCGGAACUAGGGAAGGACUAGGGUGAGGAGUUCAGUUUCUAUUGCUAAGAGGAAGAGUAAAGAACGAUUAUUGAACAUCUAGAGGCCAAGAUCAAGACUCCAGUUACACAUAUGCUGGACUUCUUAGUAUCAUCCCAAAGAUCAACAGACAAGAAAUCAAGGUACAGAAGAAUUCAAUGCCAUCUAAACGACAUGUAUAGAUUGACAGCAGAAAUUCUCCAGUUGGAUGACUGCUAAAAGACCUUUCUCCACAUUGCUUACAAUCAGAGCUGUUACUCUCCAAAGUGAAUCAACUCAUAGUCAGAAAGGUCUGAGAUGUCUGGCAGUUAUCUACCAUAGCUGAAGAAACUUGCAUAUACCCUUGGACUGAGUAAUUCAUCUUAAUAUAAGAUUAACAGAAAUACACACACACAUGAAUAUUUAUAGCAUUUAUAGCAGUAUUUUUAUUAUAACACAAAAUUAUAAAAAAUACCAAUAUCCAUCAAGAGGAUAAAUAUGGUAUAUUUUAAAAUGGAAGAGUAAAGAGAAUGAAAAUGAACACAUUGCUGCCACAUGCAAUAAUGUGUGAAUCUUAAAAAUGUUGAGUGAAACAAGACACAAAAAAAUUCAUGACACAUGAUAAAACAUAAAGUUUAAAGACAUGCAAAGACUACUUCAUGACGUUAUAAACCAGGUACAUGGUAAUCUUUGGGGAAGUAACUUUUUUAUUCCAGAGCAUAAGGAGAAAUAUAUUUCAUAUUUUCUUUUAUAAAAACUGAUUUUAUGACCAUUUUGUAUCUUGCCUCUGCAUGUAUUAUGUAAAACUUUUUUAAAAAAUAAACUGA